CUUGGUCAUUUAGAGGAAGUAAAAGACGAAACAAGGUUUCCGUAGGUGAACCUGCGGAGGGAUCAUUACCAGAGAGGAGCCAGUUCUCCUCGGGGCUCGGCCCCGCGGGC
rnacentral:rRNA from 1 species